UUGCUAGCUAAGGGACAUAUCAGGGAGAGCCUUAGUCCAUGCGCAGUACCUGUUUUGUUGGUUCCAAAGAAAGACGGAACAAUGCGCAUGUAGAUUGAUUGUCGUGCGAUCAACAAAAUCACUGUAAAGUAUCGCCAUCCUAUUCCUAGAUUAGAUGAUAUGCUUGAAGAAUUACGUGGUGCUGUUUUCUUUACAAAAAUUGAUUUGAAAAGCGGUUAUCAUCAAAUUAGGAUGAAGUUAGGUGAUGAGUGGAAAACUGCCUUUAAGACAAAAUAUGGUUUAUAUGAACGGUUAGUGAUGCCUUUUGGCUUAACUAAUGCACCUAGCACAUUUAUGAGAUUGAUGAACUAUGUUUUGCGUGAUUAACUAGGUAUGUUUGUGGUUGUGUAUUUUGAUGAUAUAUUGAUUUAUAGCCGAAACAUGGAUGACCACAUUAGGCAUGUUGAACUUGUUUUACAGAAAUUGCGUGAACAUGAACUGUAUGCUAAUCUUAAGAAAUGCACAUUUUGUACUGAUAGUGUCAUAUUCCUAGGAUUUAUUAUUAGUUCACGUGGAGUUGAGGUAGAUACUGAAAAGGUUAAGGCUAUCCAAGAAUAGCCUACACCUAAGAAUGCUAAUGAGGUGAGAUCCUUUCAUGGAUUAGCAAACUUCUAUAGGAGGUUUGUUAGAGAUUUUAGCACUAUUGCUGCACCUCUAAAUGAGAUCAUUAAAAAGGCUGUAGGAUUUAAAUAGGAUAAAGAACAAGAACUUGCAUUUAAUACAUUAAAAGAAAAACUUACUACUGCUCCUGUUUUAAGGUUAUCUGAUUUUUCUAAAACCUUUGAAAUCGAAUGUGAUGCUUGUGGGAUUGGUAUUGGUGCUGUUCUUAUGCAGAAAGGCCGACCCAUAGCAUAUUUCAGUGAGAAGCUAGGUGGUGCACAUUUGAACUAUUCCACCAAUGACAAAGAGUUCUACGGGCUCUUGAAGUUUGGGAACACUACUUGCUGCCUAAUGAGUUCGGGAUUCAUACCGACCAUCAGUCUCUCAAACACUUGAAGGGACAAGGUAAGUUGAACAAGCGGCAUGGUAAGUGGGUUGAAUAUCUCGAAAUCUUUCCUUAUGUGAUUAAAUACAAGCAAGGUAAAGAGAAUGUGGUUGCCGAUGCAUUAUCUAGACGUUAUGCAUUGACUUCCAUGCUUAGUUCUAAGUUUUUAGGAUUUGAGCAUUUGAAAGAUAUGUAUGAGAAUGAUACUAAUUUUUCUGAUGUAUUUAAGGCAUGUGAACAUGGGGCAUUUAAAAAGUUUUAUUUGCACGAUGGGUUUCUUUUUAGGGGGAAACAAAUAUGCAUACCUAAUUGUUCAGUGCGUGAGUUGCUUGUUAGAGAAUCACAUUCCGGAGGAUUAAUGGGAUAUUUUGGUGUGCAAAAAACUUUAGACAUGUUGAAUGAACACUUUUAUUGGCCUAACAUGCGAAAAUAUGUAGAGAAAAUUUGUGCUCAAUGCUUUGCAUGUAAACAGGCUAAAUCUAAGUGCUUGCCACAUGGGUUGUAUACUCCUUUGCCUGUACCUACUGAACCUUGGACUGAUAUAUCUAUGGAUUUUGUGAUAGGUUUACCUAGGACAAAAAGAGGUAGAGAUUCAGUGUUUGUUGUUGUAGAUCGCUUUAGCAAGAUGGCACAUUUUAUUCCAUGUCAUAAAACUGAUGAUGCAACGAACAUAGCUGAUUUGUUUUUCAGGGAAGUAGUCCGUUUGCAUGGUAUACCUAGGACUAUUGUUUCUGAUAGAGAUUCUAAGUUCCUUAGUCAUUUCUGGCGUGUUUUGUGGGGGAAAUUGGGUACUAAACUUUUAUUUUCUACUACUUGUCAUCCACAAACAGAUGGCCAAACUGAAGUUGUUAAUAGGACUUUAGGAACUAUGCUUCGUGCUAUUGUGGGUAGGAACUUGAAAACUUGGGAAGAAUGUUUGCCAUAUGUUGAAUUUGCUUAUAAUCGAGCAGUCCAUUCUUCUACUGGUUAUUCACCUUUUGAGGUUGUGUAUGGUUUUAAUCCAUUAACUGUACUAGAUUUAAUGCCUUUACCUUUGAACGAGUUGUCUAAUUUAGAUGGAAAAGCGAAGGCUGAAAUGGUUAAAUCAAUACACGUGAAAGCGCGUGAGCAUAUUGAGAAGCGUAACAGCAUAUAUGAGAAACAGGCCAAUAAGGGUCGCAAGAAAGUUGUAUUCAAACCAGGUGAUUGGGUUUGGAUCCAUAUGCGAAAGGAAAGGUUUCCAACUCAAAGGAAAUCAAAACUCGAUGCACGAGGGGAUGGACCAUAUCAAGUGCUGAAACGGAUCAAUGACAAUGCAUACAUAAUUGAUCUGCCAGGUGAGUUUGGUGUAAGUGCUACCUUUAAUGUUUCUGAUUUGUCUCCUUUUGAUUUUGGUACAGAUUCGAGGACGAAUCCUUUUCAAGAGGGAGGGGAUGAUGUAAGCACGACCAACAACACCAAAAAUGAUGAGCUAGCAUUGCCUCAAGGACCAAUUACAAGGUUUAGAUCCAAGAGAUUGAAGGAAGCGCUUCAAGGAUUCAUGUAGGAAUAUGUUGAAUCUUUGCAAGUUCAUUUUGAAGUUGAAGAACAAUCUGGCCAUUCAAAGUCAAUUAGGCCAAAUGUGUCCUUAUUGAUAAUUCAAAUUUUGUAUUUAUAUUGGGAAGUUAUUUAGUAGUUAGAUGUUAACCAGUAGUGGGUAGUUAAACAGUAGUGGGUAGUUAUCCAGUAGUGGAUAGUGGCAUAGAUCAUGGAUCCAUGCAGAGUAGUGGCAUAGAUCAUGGGUCCAUGCAUAGUAGUGGGAAGUGGCAAAGGUCAUGAGUCUUUAUUUAUGUUAUAUAAAGCAUCUCUUUUUCCAUAUUGUAGACAGAUUAUCAAAUUAUUCAAUACAAUUGCUUUAUGCGAUUCUUUUUUGAGAGCUUAAGAGAGAUCUUGGUUCUUGACAUUGCAUCACGAAUAAGGUUUGAUACUAACUUGUAUGUUUCUUAUUCUUGCUGCUUUUAAAAUCAAUCAGUUAUAAGUGUUCUUAAUUGCAUGUUAAUUAAGGGUGCUUUAGAUUGGGGAGUUGUUUUCUGAACUAAGUUCUUUUUACUAGGGUAUGUGUCGUUUCAGUCUCUAAUAGUCUGGGGUUCCACGUCAAUUGGUAUCAGAGCUAGGCUUAGUAAUAAUUUCUUAACUAUCCUUUGUGUCUUUUCUUCAAUUUUUCAUGAUCUUUCCGUUUGGAAUACCUAUCAGAGUCGAAUACAUUGUUUAGUUGCUCUUCAAAUCGUAUUUUGCCCUAAAUCCUUGUUUAGGCAGAAUUACUAUCUUCAGUGGUUUGGUUUGGGCUUUCUGCCCUAAUUCGUAUGCUCCUAUUCUAACACUCUUAGAAUAGUAUUUCCAGUGUUUUACUUUAAUCCAUAUAAAAAAAAAUACCAAAAAGAAGAAAAAAAAAAGAAAAAGAAUUGAUGGUGACUUGAGCUGGCGUAGGGUGGAAUAGAGGUGGAGAUGCUAGACUUGGCAGAAAUGAUGAUGACACCGAGACAUAACAAACCAACACAAUUGAUGGUGACUUGAGCUCCAUAAAGCUGAAAGUUCCUGAAUUUAAAGGGAAUAACAAUGCUGAAGAAUACAUUGAAUGGGAGAGAAAAACUGAGCAAAUAUUUGAGUGUCAUAACUAUACCGAGGAGAAGAAGUCUCAUAUCGCCGCCGUUGAGUUCACGGGUUAUGCCUCUUUUUGGUGGGAUCAAUUUAAAUCCACUCGGAGGAAUCAGGGCUUAAGGGCAGUUCCACCAUGGGACUACUUGAAAGAGUUGAUGCGCCAAAGAUUUAUUCCUUCGCACUAUUAUAGAGAUUUGUACAACAGGUUGGCAAGACUGGUGCAAGGAGGAAAGACUGUGUAAGAAUACCACAAGGAGAUGGAGAUGAUGAUGGCUAGGGCUCAUAUUGAGGAGGAUGAGCAAAUGUUGAUGUCCAGAUUUCUAGGUGGUCUUAACCACUACAUUGCUGAAGAACUUGACAUAUACCAAUACAAUACCAUGGAGCAUAUGGUAGAUAAAGCAAUGAAAAUAGAAAGGCGACACAAGGGCAGAAAUAAUCUUAAACUCACAUACAAGUCCUCAAAUAGUGGUGGUGGAUUUCCAGGCUAUAGAAGUGGAGAAAAGAAAGAUUACAAAAGCCCAAUCCAAGGGGGCAAAGAUUUGGUCCCCAAUAACAAAGGACCUUCUCAAGGGAAUAACAAGGAACAGUUCGGUACUUCUAACUCUUCUAACCCUAAUAGAGAGAUAAAAUGUUUUAAAUGUUUGGGAAAAGGACAUAUUGCAUCUCAAUGUCCUAAUAAAAGAGUUAUGAUAGCAACUGCUGAUGGGGGGUGUAGUGUCUGAUUCUGAUCAUAGUGAUGAUGAGAUAUAUACUAAUAUGACUGAAUUGAUUGAUGCUCAUAAUGACUGUGAUGAUUCGGAUGUGUUUGUUGAUAAUGUGUUGCUUGCUGAACGUGGUGAGAUGCUUGUUGCUAGGCGUGCUUUGAAUAUCCAGGUUAAGGAAAAAAGCCUAGAACAACGGGAAAACAUAUUUCACACUAGGUGUUUGGUUAAUGGAAAAGUGUGUACUCUCAUUAUUGAUGGGGGUAGUUGAACAAAUGUGGCUAGUGUGUAUAUGGUGGAGAAAUUGGGUUUGGCUUCUAUUAAACACCCUAAGCCAUACAGAUUGCAAUGGUUUAAUGUGGUGAGGUUAGGGUUACACGCCAAGUGCUUAUACCAUUUUCUAUUGGUAGGUACAAGGAUGAGAUCUUGUGUGAUGUGGUACCUAUGCAGGCAAGCCAUAUGUUGUUGGGUAGACCGUGGCAAUAUGAUAGAAAAGUGUAACAUGAUGGGUUCAAUAACAAGUACUCCUUUACUUAUGAAGGACAGAAGGUUAUACUCGCUCCUUUAUCACCUCGAGGUAUAUGCUGAUCAAAUAAAGAUGCUGGAGAGAGAGAGGGAGGCUUCGGCCUUGGCUACAAAGGGGAGUGAGAGCUUGAGUUAUGCGGUAAAAAUGAAAGAAAAGUGUGAGUCUGAGGGUAAAGAGGCUGGAAAAGAAUCAAGACCAAUAAAUGGCCCAUUGGUGAGAGAAAAGAUGUAAGAGGGAAAGGCAAAACAGAUAUUUUAUGUGAGAGCGAGAGAGGCUAAGAGUGCUAUAUCUUUAGGGCAGCCCAUGUUGCUUAUAAGAUACAAGGAAAUUUUAUUUGCUGACACUGAUAUUAACCUUUCUUCUUUGCGUUCUAGUUUUAAGUCUAUGAUGCAGGAAUUCACUGAUGUCUUUCCGGAUGAGCUACCUAGUGGAUUCCCACCGUUAAGGGGGAUUGAGUAUCAUAUAGAUUUCAUACCUAGUUCUAGCAUUCCAAAUAGACCAGCUUACCUAAGCAAUCCAAUGGAAACAAAGGAAAUGCAAAGGCAAAUUGACGAGCUUAUGGAGAAGGGAUUGGUGAGAGAAAGUUUAAGUCCAUGUGCUGUUCCUGUGCUGCUUGUUCCAAAGAAGGAUGGCACAUGGCGAAUGUGUGUUGAUUGUAGAGCAGUUAACAAGAUCAUAGUGAAGUAUAGGCAUCCUAUACCUCGGCUAGAUGACAUGUUGGAUGAGCUUCACGGUGCCAGGUACUUUACAAAAAUUGAUCUUAAACCUGGUGAUGAAUGGAAAACUGCAUUUAAGACAAAGUAUGGUAUGUAUGAAUGGUUAGUUAUGCCUUUUGGUUUGUUAAAUGCACCUAGUACGUUUAUGAGGCUAAUGAAUCAUGUGUUGCGUGCAUACUUAGGAAAAUUUGUAGUUGUUUACUUUGAUGAUAUCUUGAUCUAUAGCAGGUCUCUCGACGAACAUAUUGAGCAUGUUAGGUUGGUUCUAUAGGUUUUGAGGCAAGAGAGCUUGUAUGCUAAACUUAAGAAGUGCACAUUUUGUAUAGAUAGACUUGUUUUCCUUGGUUUUGUUGUGAGUGCACAGGGAAUUGAGGUAGAUGAAGAGAAGGUGAAAGCUAUAAAGGUGUGGCCCAUUCUUAAAUCUAUUUCAGAUGUGAGGAGCUUUCAUGGCCUUGCAAGCUUUUACAGGAGGUUUGUGCACGAUUUCUCUACGAUUGCAGCACCACUCACAGGAAUUAUUAAGAAGGAAGUUGGGUUCAAAUGGGGAGAGGAGCAACAGAAAGCUUUUGACUGCUUAAAAGGGAAGUUAAUAUCCGCUCCUAUAUUAUCUUUACCUAACUUUGAUAAAACUUUUGAAAUUGAGUGUGAUGCUUCUGGUGUAGGUAUUGGGGCUGUGUUGAUGCAAGAGAAGAAACCAAUAGCCUAUUUCAGCGAGAAGUUGAACGGAGCACAUCUCAAUUAUUCAACCUAUGAAAAGGAGUUGUAUGCCUUCGUGAGAGCACUGGACGUGUGGCAACACUAUCUCCUGCCCAAAGAGUUUGUGAUACAUACGGAUCAUGAGUCCUUAAAACACUUGAAUGGACAAGCCAAGUUCAAUAAGAGGCAUGGUAAGUGGGUUGAGUUUAUUGAACAAUUUCCAUAUGUGAUUAAGUAUAAGCAUGGGAAAGACAAUGUGGUUGCAGAUGCUUUGUCUAGGAGGUAUGCUUUAAUUAAUGCUGUGAGUUCUAAAUUGCUUGGUUUUGCGCAUGUUAAAGACUUGUACAUUAAUGAUGUUGAUUUCGGCAAUGUGUUGGUGGCUUGUGAGCAUGGCGCUUUUAACUCUUUUUAUAGGCGUGAUGGUUACUUGUUUAAGGGUAAGAAAUUGUGUGUACCUAGAUGCUCUAUGCGUGAUUUGCUUGUGCUUGAAUCUCAUUGCGGUCGUUUGAUGGGGCAUGUUGGAGUACAUAAGAAUUAUGACACCUUAUUUGAGCAUUUUUAUUGGCCUUCUAUGCGCAAAGACGUUGAGAAAGUGUGUGCUUCUUGUAUUGCAUGUAGACAGGCAAAGUCUAAGUCUAUGCCUCAUGGUCUUUAUAUGCCUCUACCUGUUCCUAGUUCACCGUGGUAGAGAUAGCAUAUUUGUUGUUGUCGACAGGUUUAGCAAGAUGGCUCACUUCAUUCCUUGCCAUAAAACUGAUGACGCCAUCAAUGUCGCUGACUUGUUCUUCCGGGAAGUGGUUCGACUUCAUGGAGUGCCAAGGACAAUUGUGUCAGAUAGAGAUACAAAGUACCUUUCGCAUUUUUGGAAAGUAUUAUGGUGGGGUAAGUUGGGUACUAAACUCUUAUAUUCUACUACUUGUCAUCCACAGACAGAUGGCCAAACAGAGGUGGUGAAUAGAACUCUUGGUACCUUACUCAGAGCUAUAGUGGGUAAGAAUUUGAACACUUGGGAAGAUUGCUUGCCUUUCAUUGAGUUUGCAUAUAACCUUAGCAUACAUUCUUCUACGGGGUUUUCUCCAUUUGAGCUUGUUUACGGUUUUAACCCACUGACUGUACUUGAUCUUGUUCCUUUACCUUUACAUGAGCUUGCUAGUUUAGAUGGUGCUAAAAAGGCAGAAUUGGUGAAGUCCUUACAAGCGAAGGCUAGGUCUAACAUAGAAAAGAGGAACAAGGUGUAUGCUGACAGGGCAAAUAGGAGACGGAAGAAAGUGGUGUUUGUUCCUGGUGAUUGGGUUUGGGUGCACUUCCGAAAGGAACGAUUUCCAAAUCAGAGGAAGAAUAAGCUGGAUGCUCGUGGUGAUGGUCCAUUUUAAGUCUUAGAGCGAAUCAAUGAAUCAAUGACAAUGCUUAUGAAAUAGAAUUGCCAGGUUAGUAUGGGGUUAGUGCUACCUUUAAUGUGUCUGACUUGUCUCCUUUUGACUAUGUUCCAGAUUUGAGGACAAAUCUUUUCGAGGAAGGAGGGAAUGAUACGAACCAGCAAAUCCAAUCACAUGAGAAUCAAGGAAGCAAGGAUCCAUUGGUGCUCCCUAUUGGACCAGUGACAAGGAGCAAAGCUAAGAAGCUUGAAGUAGCUAUGAACUUACACAUUCAAGAACAAGUAACACAAGAAUUGACUGAGCUUGCCUUUGGCUAAUGUCUCGUGAAGCUUGAAGACACACCUAAGCUACUCACCUUGCUUAAGGUGUGUAUUGGAGAUAGCGCUGUCUAAUUUAUUCAGCAUUGAUAUGAUGGGCUUAUGCAUUAUUUUAGUGUGUGAUUGGGCUUGGGCCUUAGGUGUUUAAGUCAGACCCAAGAAGAGUGUUUAGGGUUUUAUUUGUUUUUCUCUUUACUAUAUAAGGAUAAGAAACAAAUGUAAGAGCCAGCUUUUAAUCAAAACUUCAGAAUUCUUCUCAUGCCUUUGGUGUGUAUUGCUUUGAGUGAGAGUGAGGAUUUGCUUUCAUCAAUUGCACCAGGAAUCUUGGCGUGUAUUACUUAUCAACUAUUCGUUGUGGCGUUUGUCAGAUUGAUGCGGAACCCCAGCCUAUUAGAGACUGAAACGACACAUACCCUAGUAAAAAGAACUUAAUUCAGAAAAUAAUUCCCAAAUCUAAAGCACCCUUAAUUAACAUGCAAUUAAGAACACUUAUAAUGGAUUGAUUUUAAGAGUAGCAAGAAUAACAAACAUACAAAGUUAGUAUCAAACCUUAUUCGUGAUGCAAUGUCAAGAACCAAGAUCUCUCUUAAGCUCUCAAAGAAGAAUCGCAUAAAGCAAUUGUAUUGAAUAAUUGAUAAUCUGUGUGUACAAUAUAGAAAAAGAGAUGCUUUAUAUAGCCUAAAUUAAGACCCAUGAUCUUUGCCACUUUCCACUACUAUACAUGGACCCAUGAUCUAUGCCACUUCCUACUACUAUACAUGGACCCAUGAUCUUUGCCACUUCCCACAACUAUGCAUGGACCCAUGAUCUAUGCCACUAUCCACUACUAGAUAACUACCCACUACCAAAUAACUACCCACUAUAAAUACAAAAUUUGUAUUGUCNNNNNNNNNNNNNNNNNNNNNNNNNNNNNNNNNNNNNNNNNNNNNNNNNNNNNNNNNNNNNNNNNNNNNNNNNNNNNNNNNNNNNNNNNNNNNNNNNNNNNNNNNNNNNNNNNNNNNNNNNNNNNNNNNNNNNNNNNNNNNNNNNNNNNNNNNNNNNNNNNNNNNNNNNNNNNNNNNNNNNNNNNNNNNNNNNNNNNNNNNNNNNNNNNNNNNNNNNNNNNNNNNNNNNNNNNNNNNNNNNNNNNNNNNNNNNNNNNNNNNNNNNNNNNNNNNNNNNNNNNNNNNNNNNNNNNNNNNNNNNNNNNNNNNNNNNNNNNNNNNNNNNNNNNNNNNNNNNNNNNNNNNNNNNNNNNNNNNNNNNNNNNNNNNNGCAUAGGGUUCCGCGUCAGUCAAUAAGGACACAUUUGGCCUAAUUGACUUGGAAUGGCCAGAUUGUUCUUCAACUUCAAAAUCAACUUGUAAAGCUUCAACAUAUUCCUUCAUGAAUCCUUGAAGUGCUUCCUUCAACCUCUUGGAUCUCAGCCUUGUAAUUGGUCCUUGAGCCAAUGCUAGCUCAUCAUUUUUGGUAUUGUUGGUCGUGCUUACAUCAUCCCCAUCCUCUUGAAAAGGAUUCGUCCUCGAAUCUGUACCAAAAUCAAAAGGAGACAAAGCAGAAACAUUAAAGAUAGCACUUACACCAAACUCACCUGGCAGAUCAAUUAUGUAUGCGUUAUCAUUGAUCCGUUUCAGCACUUGAUAUGGUCCAUCCCCUCGUGCAUCAUGUUUUGAUUUCCUUUGAUUCAGAAACCUCUCCUUUCGCAUAUGGAUCCAAACCCAAUCACCUGGUCUGAAUACAACUUUCUUGCGACCCUUAUUGGCCUGUUUCUCAUACAUUUUGUUGCGCUUCUCAAUAUGCUCACGCGCUUUCAAGUGUAUUGAUUUAACCAUUUCAGCCUUCGCUUUUCCAUCUAAAUUAGACAGCUCGUUCAAAGGUAAAGGCAUUAAAUCUAAUACAGUUGAUGGAUUAAAACCAUACACAAUCUCAAAAGGUGAAUAACCAGUAGAAGAAUGGACAUCGUGAUUAUAAGCAAAUUCAACAUAUGGCAAACAUUCUUCCCAAGUUUUUAAUUUCCUACCUACAAUAGCACGAAGCAUAGUUCCUAAAGUCCUAUUAACAACUUCAGUUUAGCCAUCUGUUUGUGGAUGACAAGUAGUAGAAAAUAAAAGUUUAGUACCCAAUUUCCCCCACAAAACACGCCAGAAAUGACUAAGGAACUUAGAAUCUCUAUUAGAAAUAAUAGUCCUAGGUAUACAAUGCAAACGGACUACUUCCUUGAAAAAGAAAUCAGCUAUGUUCGUUGCAUCAUCAGUUUUAUGAGAUGGAAUAAAAUGUGCCAUCUUACUAAAGCGAUCUACAACAACAAACACAAAAUCUAUACCUCUUUUUGUCCUAGGUAAAACUAUCACAAAAUCCAUAGAUAUAUCAGUCCAAGUUUCAGUAGGUACAGGCAAAGGAGUAUACAACCCAUGUGGCAAGGACUUAGAUUUAGCCUGUUUACAUGCAAAGCAUUGAGCAUAAAUUUUCUCUACAUAUUUUCUCAUAUUAGGCCAAUAAAAGUGUUCAUUCAACAUGUCUAAAGUCUUUUGCAAACCAAAAUGUCCCAUUAAUCUUCCUGAAUGUGAUUCUCUAACAAGCAACUCACGCACUGAACAAUUAGGUAUGCAUAUUUGUUUCCCCCUAAGAAGAAACCAAUCAUGCAAAUAAAACUUUUUAAAUGCCCCAUGUUCACAUGCCUUAAAUACAUCAGAAAAAUCAGUAUCAUUCUCAUACAUAUCUUUCAAAUGCUCAAAUCCUAACAACUUAGAACUAAGUAUGGAAGUCAAUGCAUAACGUCUAGAUAAUGCAUCGACAACAUCAUUCUCUUUACCUUGCUUGUAUUUAAUCACAUAAGGAAAGAUUUCGAGAUAUUCAACCCACUUACCAUGCCGCUUGUUCAACUUACCUUGUCCCUUCAAGUGUUUGAGAGACUGAUGGUCGGUAUGAAUCACGAACUCAUUAGGCAGCAAGUAGAGUUCCCAAACUUCAAGAGCCCUAAUCAGUGCGUAGAACUCUUUGUCAUAGGUGGAAUAGUUCAAAUGUGCGCCACCUAGUUUCUCACUAAAAUAUGCUAUGGGUCGGCCUUCCUGCAUAAGAACAGCACCAAUACCAAUCCCACAAGCAUCACAUUCGAUUUCAAAGGUUUUAGUAAGUUUUUCUUUUAAUGUGUUAAAUGCAAGUUCCUGUUCUUUACCCCAUUUAAAUCCUACAGCCUUUUUAAUGAUCUCAUUUAGAGGUUCAGCAAUAGUACUAAAUUCUCUAACAAACCUCCUAUAGAAGCUUGCUAAUCCAUGAAAGGAUCUCACCUCAUUAGCAUUCUUAGGUGUAGGCCAUUCUUGGAUAGCCUUAACCUUUUCCGUAUCUACCUCCACACCAAGUGAACUAAUAAUAAAUCCUAGAAAUAUGACACUAUUAGUACAAAAUGUGCAUUUCUUAAGAUUAGCAUACAAUUCAUGUUGACGCAACUUCUGUAGAACAAGUUCAACUUGCCUAAUAUGAUCAUCCAGGUUUCGGCUAUAAAUCAAUAUAUCAUCAAAAUACACAACCACAAACUUAACUAGGUAAUCACGCAAAACAUGGUUCAUCAAUCUCAUAAAUGUGCUAGGUGCAUUAGUUAAGCCAAAAGGCAUGACUAACCAUUCAUAUAAACCAUAUUUUGUCUUAAAGGCAGUUUUCCACUCAUCACCUAACUUCAUCCUAAUUUGAUGAUAACCGCUUUUCAAAUCAAUUUUUGUAAAGAAAACAGCACCACAUAAUUCUUCAAGCAUAUCAUCUAAUCUAGGAAUAGGAUGGCGAUACUUUACAGUGAUUUUGUUGAUCGCACGACAAUCAACACACAUGCGCAUUGUUCCGUCUUUCUUUGGAACCAACAAAACAGGUGUUCUCCCUGAUAUGUCCCUUAGCUAGCAACGCAUCAACUUGCUUUUGCAAUUCCUUCGUCUCCUCAGGAUUGCUACGGUAAGCUGGACGGUUUGGAAUCUGAGCUCCAGGAACAAAAUCGAUUUGAUGUUCUAUUCCCCUAAUGGGUGGCAAGAUGGCACCUCCUCAGGAAAUACAUCCGCAAAGUCCUGCAAUAACUUAGAAAAAAAACUAGGCAAUUCAACAGUAGGGUUAGUCUCAAUCAUAAAAUUGGAACUAAAACGCAAUAUAAUCAAAGCUCUCUUCCCUAAGUAUGCUUUCUUCAACUCUCUCUCUUUACAAUAAAAGGAAGACUUGCUGAAUUCUUCACUCUUCUCACUCAGCUCUCUUUUUACCUCCACACUCACUAACGUUUUCUCUCCUGCACAUCUCUCAUUUUUAUCCUUUCCUGUGCAGUCACUGUCCUUUGGGCCAUUGAAAACCUUCUUUUCACUACUGGCCUCUUUUCUCUCAUUCUUUUUACUUGUCUCACCUCCCUUACCCAAUUUAGCAGAUUGUUGUAAUUUCACUUGAUCUGCAUAUACAUCUUUAGGAGAUAAUGGUACAAGUAUAUUUUUUACACCAAGGAACAUAAAAGAAAACCUAUUACUAUACCCAUCAUGAAUGACACGCCUAUCAAAUUGCCAUGGUCUACCCAACAAAAUAUGUCCAACCUGCAUGGGUACAAUAUCACAAGUAACCUCAUCUACAUACUUGCCAAUAGAAAAUGAAACUUUACAUUGCUUGGUUACCUUUGCUUCGCCACUAUCAUUCAACCGCUGAAGUCUAUAAGGAUUAGGGUGUUUAAUAGUUUCUAGUCCUAAUUUAUCAACUAAAAUAGUACUAGCACAAUUAACUUGACUACCCGAAUCUAUUAUCAUUCUACAGACUUUACCACCUACCAAACAACGAGUGUGAAAGAUGUUUUCACGCUGUUCAAGUCCUUCUUCUUUAAUAGAAACAUUUAACGUACGCAAUAUUACUAAAGACUCUCCCUGAACAGGAUACUCUUCUAUCUCUACAUCAGAACAAUCUUCUAAAGGUGGUAUUUCAUUAGAGACCUGAAGAAAGCAUACUUAGGGAAAAGUGCUUUGAUUAUAUUGCGUUUUAGUUCCAAUUUUAUGAUUGAGACUAACCCUACUGUUGAAUUGCCUAGUUCUUUUUCUAAGUUAUUGCAGGAGUUUGCGGAUGUAUUUCCUGAGGAGGUGCCAUUUGGGUUGCCACCCAUUAGGGGAAUAGAACAUCAAAUCGAUUUUGUUCCUGGAGCUCAGAUUCCAAACCGUCCAGCUUACCGUAGCAAUCCUGAGGAGACGAAGGAAUUGCAAAAGCAAGUUGAUGAGUUGCUAGCUAAGGGACAUAUUAGGGAGAGCCUUAGUCCAUGCGCAGUACCUGUUUUGUUGGUUCCAAAGAAAGAUGGAACAAUGCGCAUGUGUGUUGAUUGUCGUGCGAUCAACAAAAUCACUGUAAAGUAUCGCCAUCCUAUUCCUAGAUUAGAUGAUAUGCUUGAAGAAUUAUGUGGUGCUGUUUUCUUUACAAAAAUUGAUUUGAAAAGCGGUUAUCAUCAAAUUAGGAUGAAGUUAGGUGAUGAGUGGAAAACUGCCUUUAAGACAAAAUAUGGUUUAUAUGAAUG
rnacentral:lncRNA from 1 species